rnacentral:rRNA from 1 species
AUCAGGUAGGGACACCCGCUGAACUUAAGCAUAUCAAUAAGCGGAGGAAAAGAAAAUAACAAUGAUUCCCCUAGUAACUGCGAGUGAAGAGGGACAAGCUCAAAUUUUAAAUCUGUUAGGUAUCACCUGGCCGAGUUGUAAUUUGAAGAAGCGUUUUCUGCGUCCUUGGUCAGCCCAAGUCCUAUUGAAUGAGGCAUCAUGGAGGGUGAUAAUCCCGUCCGGUUGAUCAAUGCGUUUUACGAUACGCUCUCAAAGAGUCAAGUUGUUUGGGAUUGCAGCUUAAAAUGGGAGGUAAAUUUCUCCUAAGGCUAAAUAUUGGCGAGAGACCGAUAGCGAACAAGUACCGUGAGGGAAAGAUGAAAAGAACUUUGAAAAGAGAGUAAAAUAGUGCGUGAAAUUGUUGAAAGGGAAACGAUUGAAGUCAGUCGUACCGACGGACAAUCAGCCUUUUGAGUGCGAAUCUGUGGCUCAUGAGGAGGAAACCCUCAUGUUUUGCAUAUUUGUGCUCUUUGGGUGUAUUUGUUCGUAUGGUGGGUUAACAUCAAUUUUGGUCGUCAUAAAAUGACGGGAGGAAAGUAGCUUUGGUCUCGUAUUGAAGUGUUAUAGCCUCUGGUAGAUGUGACGACCGGGAUUGAGGAUUGCAACGGAUACCCUUUUGGGCUACUCGCCUGAUCUCUGAUCGCUACUCUGGUGCCGAAAGCUUGCUUAUGUCAUCAAAGUUGAUGGUCAAAAGGUUAGAACGGGUUAAAUUCGUUAAGGAUGUUGACGUAAUGGCUUUAAACGACCCGUCUUGAAACACGGACCAAGGAGUCUAACAUAUAUGCGAGUGUU